AAAUUGAAGAGUUUGAUCAUGGCUCAGAUUGAACGCUGGCGGCAGGCCUAACACAUGCAAGUCGAACGGUAACAGGAAGCAGCUUGCUGCUUCGCUGACGAGUGGCGGACGGGUGAGUAAUGUCUGGGAAACUGCCUGAUGGAGGGGGAUAACUACUGGAAACGGUGGCUAAUACCGCAUAACGUCGCAAGACCAAAGAGGGGGACCUUCGGGCCUCUUGCCAUCAGAUGUGCCCAGAUGGGAUUAGCUGGUUGGUGAGGUAACGGCUCACC
rnacentral:rRNA from 2 species